GAUGGUAGCUCUCCAGGAGCAGGGUUGGAGAUCCCUGGUUUAGACCCUCAAGUAAGCCAGGGCUCUCGCUCAAGCAUCUGGUCACUCAUGGCAACUCCACGACCACUACAGCUAUGCCAUCUAACCAGACACGGUUUGGAGAAAUGUAGCAUUGCAUCAGUUGCUCAGCAAUGGAUGCUCUGCAGUGAAUGGGUGCCGUCAGACUGAGAGUGCAAACAGCUGAUAAAAACAUCACAGUAAUCCACAUCACUCCAGCCCAUUAAUUAAUCGAGUCUAAUAUCCAUAUAAUUGCUUUCUCCAGUGAAAAACCAGUCUGAUCUGAAUCCGGAGAGAAAUAUACACAGAUCAAGCAC